CAUGGGGGUGUCCCUGUCUCACUGUCCCCAUGUGGGUGUCCCUGUGUUGGCAUCCCCGUGUCACUGUCCCCACGUGGGUGUCCCCGUGUCAUUGUCCCCAUCUGGGUGUCCCCAUGUCACUGUCCCCAUGUGGGUGUCCCCGUGUCACUGUCCCCAUAUGGGUGUCCCUGUCUCAAUGUCCCCAUGUCAGUGUCCCCAUCUGGGUGUCCCCGUGUCACUGUCCCCACAUGGGUGUCCCCAUGGGGGUGUCCCUGUCUCACUGUCCCCAUGUGGGUGUCCCUGUGUUGGCAUCCCCGUGUCACUGUCCCCACGU
rnacentral:lncRNA from 1 species